CCACUGACCAGUAAUUGGAGGGGAAGAAACCUAAUUCAAAUGUUCAGCAUUUUAGAGAUGGAAAGAAGAGAAUGAUGCUCAAAGGUUAUGUGAGAACACGUGUCAUGACCCACAUGUACACCAUGGCUGUCAGAAGACAACACCGUGGAAUUGGUUCUCUACUUCCUCUUUUAAGUGAAUUCAAAGAAUUGAACUCCAAGUGGUCAGGCAGAGUCUGGCCUUGGCCCUUGAACCCACAGAUCCCCCAGCGUCUGUCUGGCUCCUGAAUGGUAGGAUGAAAGGCAUAGCAGAGAAGCACCAUGCCAGGUAUCCUAACUAUUCUUGGUAAUGCUGUGCUGUGUAUUUAUGUCAUCAUCAUUUGAAUUGGGUUGUCUAAAGGGAAAGCCGGUCAGUGCUUUGCCUGCCUCUACCUGCAGAAGUGUCAGUCACCCUCCCAAUUUUCUCUCCUCAAACCUG